GGAAAAGGAGGAGAAGGAAAAGGAGGAGGAGGAGAAUGAAGAGGAGGCGGAGGAAGAGGAGGAGAAGGAAGAAGAUAAAUCUAAUCUUCCUUCAACAUCCUCCUACAAGAGAGAGUCCAGAUCUACAGCAGCAGCCAACACACAGACCAAACACACCUUCUCUCGUUUACCACUACUUGGGUUGACGGGGCAGCAGGCGCUCAGUGACCACCACACUCCAUCACCUCUGCCGGACAAGUUACCGCCUAUUAUUGACAAGGCCGUUACUGCCUUUCCUCCCUUCAGCAAAGACAGUGUGAGCAUCCAGGAAGACGGGCUCCUGAGGGUGGCAGGCUGGAGGAGAGGUCUUCCUUACCCUAAAGUCGACAUUCCCUCCUCCUCCCCCGCCCUCUCUGGUCUCCCGUUCUACAUCAGAGAACAGAAAGACCUAGGACCUUUCUUCAUGGUUUCUCUCUCUUAAGAUACACCGAAUUAAGUGUCUUGUGCCCCUAAUACCAUAAAGACCAACACAAGAUAACUAUUAUAUGCAGUGUGAAUCGAUGGAACGAAACAUGAACUUUUACAGUGAACGUUAACAAAGGCCUUCACCUAAGACAUGAUGAAUAAUACAGUGUUAGUGAGAUGUGACGAGCUGGUGGUGACAUACUGUGUAAUUCUGUUCACCACCUACUGUACUUAACCACGUACAGUACCUCCACGUACAGUAUCAACACCCCGGUGAUAGUGAUAGUGAAGUAACACUCUGGUGAUAGUGACAAUUAGUGAUGAAGAUGAAGAUAGUGAAGAGACUGAUAGUGAUAUAUUAACUUGUAACGACACUACUCAACUGCCCCCUGGUGUUAAUAUAAAGUAUAUUCACCGUUGACCUUUUAGUGUGUGAGAAAGCUUGCGUUACAGCAGGUGGCUAGUCACGACGAAAGGCUUCAUACUGUGUUUGUAAAUGUGUAUAUACAGUACAAUUAAGUGAAGGAUCCUUUAAGAAAAUGGAUAUAAAAAAAUAUAUAAAUCUAUGUAUAAUGCUGGUAGUAUCUUUAGUAGGUGUAUAGUUGGUCCUCUCACCAGUCUGUGUACGGGUCCAAUAACCUGUGUUAAGGACUACAAGCCUCCAACUCACUUUAAUAACUCUAAAUGUUUCAGAGCAGAUCCAAACCUUCAGAGUUGGAUUAAUACUUGAUUAUGGAGCCACACUUACACCACAGGCGUCGCUCCUCCUCUAUACACUUACACAGAGGCUCUAACUACAGCACCAUGCUAAGUAUGAAGCCCUGAUAUCAGCCCUUACUGUACACACCUCGGUAUGGCUUGAUAACCUUCACACACACACACACACACACACACACACACACACACACACACACACACACACACACAGAGUAAUAUUAGGAACUAUUGAGUAUAAAUUAAGUGCCUUUUCUUAUAUAUUUCCAGGAAUAAUGUUAUCAGUUGUAACUUGUAUGCACACCUAAUAGGAAAGUUAUGGUGUGUGUUGUGUCGUGAGUGAGUUGAAGGCUGGUGCGCCACAUCACCACCACACCAUGCGCCACACCAUGCACCACAUACUCCCACCACAACUUGUACACUCCCUCAGAGGACCCAAACUCAUGAGUGAUUUGUUUACCGUCACAGUAAUAAACAACAGACGUUACCAUGAACCACCUUAUUACUUCAGCCAAACUAUCAUAAACUGUAGUGACUGAGUGAUGAUGAAAAAUUGGUGGCCACACUGACCCACAAUUAUCAACAAGAUGAGUGUUGAUGAGACGUGAGCAGCAGUAACAGUAUAAUGGCCAAAGGUACUGUUCACGAUAACAGUAUAAUGGCCAAAGGUACUGUACACGAUAACAGUAUAAUGGCCAAAGGUACUGUACACGAUAACAGUAUAAUGGCCAAAGGUACUGUACACGAUAACAGUAUAAUGGCCAAAGGUACUGUACACGAUAACAGUAUAAUGGCCAAAGGUACUGUACACGAUAACAGUAUAAUGGCCAAAGGUACUGUACACGAUAACAGUAUAAUGGCCAAAGGUACUGUUCACGAUAACAGUAUAAUGGCCAAAGGUACUGUACACGAUAACAGUAUAAUGGCCAAAGGUACUGUACACAAUAACAGUAUAAUGGCCAAAGGUACUGUACACGAUAACAGUAUAAUGGCCAAAGGUACUGUACAAAGUGUUCUUAAUGUACAGAGAUACUUUGGUACAACGAAAAUAAGGAGUGUAUAAGUGUAGCCUACUGUAGCGUUAAUAGAAUGAUCUACCACACUGUAUUUUAUUACCCCUUGUACUGUAGUUAUGUAAGAACCAAGACAGACAGACAGACAGUCGGUCAACUUUACGGAAAUUAACUGAUCACUGAAUAAACAAUCGAACUUAAAAUAUAAAUAAAUAAUUGAAAUGUCAUACUUACCCUAGUCCAGCACAACACUGCUCCACACUUACCUGCAGAAAAUAGUCUUUAUAAUACAGUAAUAAUAAUAAUAAAAGAAGUACUGUAUGUCUGUUUCAUCCCCAGUAUAGUAUUUACCAUCAAAAUAUAACAGUGGCUACCAUAGCUUCGUGUUAGGUCAAACAAUUAUCCCCUAGACGAAUAUAGUUGUUUUGUCUUGAAAUAAUUAUCAGGUUAAUUAAGGUCAUAGGAGGUUUAAAUAUUACUAUGAGCCCCACACAAUCCAAGUUAAUUUCUUGUAUACUGUAUUUGAUUAGUGAAGUCCGCUACAAUGGUUUCCCGCCAGACCUCCCUUCACUUGAUGUACUUGCUUCGGCAGUACAUAUACUAAAAUUGGAACGAUACAGAGAAGAUUAGCAUGGCCCCUGCGCAAGGAUGACACGCAAAAUCGUGAAGCGUUCCACAUUUUUGCCCGCAUUAUUGUGUUUUAACAAUAACUCAACACAAACUGACCACAAGAUAUUAUAUAAUAAAAUAAAUAAGAUAAAUAUCAGGGAGGUGCCGGACAAGGCUUCACUGAGAGGGUUCGAGCCUGGAGGCUGCGUCACACUGCUGUACGUUAUAAGUCGUUAUAUACAAGUUCAUACAAGAUCAAAUCUAUUGUUCUUUCGAUACAAACGACAAUCCCAAUUUAUUAAAAAAAAAUACUGUUUAUGUUCGUCUACUGUAACUACAAUUAUGUUUAAACUACAACUAUGUUUUUCACUUCCUGGCAUCACAGAAGACUUUAAAAUUCAAAUUUAUUUCGAGAUAAUGAUAAAAUAGAUAACCUUUUCAAACGUACUUAAAAAAACCCACAAGAUUAUGUUGGUCGUCACUGGUUCAAAUCGUAGCCUGCUGAACCAGCGUUAAACUUGUGUGACGAGUUGACUGAAUAUUUGUUUAUCUAUAUAGCUAUGGUAGGACCACUCCCCACCAACACCCACGUGUAGAUGACCAGCAGAAACAACAGGCUCUCCCGUCGGUGGUGAAAGCUUGUGUUUGGUUGUACUGUAUUAUGUAAUUCUACUGUAGAUGAAAGGUUUCUUCCUCGUCGUCCAGUUACCCAUGGUGGCAGAGCUCUCACUACUUCAUGUUAAAAACAAUAUUCAUAUUAGACUUGAGUUAGUCAGUAAUAUUUACCAUAGUUAUCCUUACAUAUAAAAUAGAAUAAUACUCAUUUUCUUUUACAAUAUUGUACACUCACUGCAGGAAGGACUUCGUUACACUAGUUCUCUGUUUGUGUGUCAUGGUCCCGUACUUGUACAGUAUUCUUAAUGUAAGUCUAUUACAACAGUAAUAGUGAACAUUAAAGUGUUACAUUAGUGUUGAUAUUAAACAAAGGUCUCUCCUAGAAAUAAACACCUGAGAGCUUUGUCUGUCAUCCUUCACCUGCACUGUCUCGGCACACACGAAACUCUAUCACCACGCUCUAUAGACACCGUGUACCUGUAUUGUCUGUGUUCAUGCUGAGAUGUAUACCUGUACAGCUUAUAUACUGUACAUACAGUACCAAUUAUAAACUUGUAAGACAAUUUUACUGAUUAAAUAUUAAUAUUAAGAGUACCUUCCUAAAUGACCUACACAAUGAUUAUUAAAAGUGGGACGUACUGUACAUAGUUCGUUUGUCAGUUCGGGAUCACUGAUUCCCAACAAUGGUUUCCCGCCAGACCUCCCUUCACUUGAUGUACUUGCUUCGGCAGUACAUAUACUAAAAUUGGAACGAUACAGAGAAGAUUAGCAUGGCCCCUGCGCAAGGAUGACACGCAAAAUCGUGAAGCGUUCCACAUUUUU